rnacentral:rRNA from 1 species
UACGUAGGGACCAAGCGUUGUUCGGAUUUACUGGGCGUAAAGGGCGCGUAGGCGGCAAUUCAAGUCAGCUGUGAAAUCUCCGGGCUUAACUGGGAGGGUGCAGCGGAAACUAGAAUGCUAGAGGGUGGGAGAGGUAAGCGGAAUUCCUGGUGUAGCGGUGAAAUGCGUAGAUAUCAGGAGGAACACCUGUGGUGUAGACAGCUUACUGGACCACUUCUGACGCUGAGACACGAAAGCGUGGGUAGCAAACAGG